AAAUUGAAGAGUUUGAUCAUGGCUCAGAUUGAACGCUGGCGGCAGGCCUAACACAUGCAAGUCGAACGGUAACAGGAAGAAGCUUGCUUCUUUGCUGACGAGUGGCGGACGGGUGAGUAAUGUCUGGGAAACUGCCUGAUGGAGGGGGAUAACUACUGGAAACGGUAGCUAAUACCGCAUAACGUCGCAAGACCAAAGAGGGGGACCUUCGGGCCUCUUGCCAUCGGAUGUGCCCAGAUGGGAUUAGCUUGUUGGUGGGGUAACGGCUCACCAAGGCGACGAUCCCUAGCUGGUCUGAGAGGAUGACCAGCCACACUGGAACUGAGACACGGUCCAGACUCCUACGGGAGGCAGCAGUGGGGAAUAUUGCACAAUGGGCGCAAGCCUGAUGCAGCCAUGCCGCGUGUAUGAAGAAGGCCUUCGGGUUGUAAAAGUACUUUCAGCGGGGAGGAAGGGAGUAAAGUUAAUACCUUUGCUCAUUGACGUUACCCGCAGAAGAAGCACCGGCUAACUCCGUGCCAGCAGCCGCGGUAAUACGGAGGGUGCAAGCGUUAAUCGGAAUUACUGGGCGUAAAGCGCACGCAGGCGGUUUGUUAAGUCAGAUGUGAAAUCCCCGGGCUCAACCUGGGAACUGCAUCUGAUACUGGCAAGCUUGAGUCUCGUAGAGGGGGGUAGAAUUCCAGGUGUAGCGGUGAAAUGCGUAGAGAUCUGGAGGAAUACCGGUGGCGAAGGCGGCCCCCUGGACGAAGACUGACGCUCAGGUGCGAAAGCGUGGGGAGCAAACAGGAUUAGAUACCCUGGUAGUCCACGCCGUAAACGAUGUCGACUUGGAGGUUGUGCCCUUGAGGCGUGGCUUCCGGAGCUAACGCGUUAAGUCGACCGCACGGGGAGUACGGCCGCAAGGUUAAAACUCAAAUGAAUUGACGGGGGCCCGCACAAGCGGUGGAGCAUGUGGUUUAAUUCGAUGCAACGCGAAGAACCUUACACGGUCUUGACAUCCACAGAACUUUCCAGAGAUGGAUUGGUGCCUUCGGGAACUGUGAGACAGGUGCUGCAUGGCUGUCGUCAGCUCGUGUUGUGAAAUGUUGGGUUAAGUCCCGCAACGAGCGCAACCCUUAUCCUUUGUUGCCAGCGGUCCGGCCGGGAACUCAAAGGAGACUGCCAGUGAUAAACUGGAGGAAGGUGGGGAUGACGUCAAGUCAUCAUGGCCCUUACGACCAGGGCUACACACGUGCUACAAUGGCGCAUACAAAGAGAAGCGACCUCGCGAGAGCAAGCGGACCUCAUAAAGUGCGUCGUAGUCCGGAUUGAGUCUGCAACUCGACUCCAUGAAGUCGGAAUCGCUAGUAAUCGUGGAUCAGAAUGCCACGGUGAAUACGUUCCCGGGCCUUGUACACACCGCCCGUCACACCAUGGGAGUGGGUUGCAAAAGAAGUAGGUAGCUUAACCUUCGGGAGGGCGCUUACCACUUUGUGAUUCAUGACUGGGGUGAAGUCGUAACAAGGUAACCGUAGGGGAACCUGCGGUUGGAUCACCUCCUUACCUUAAAGAAGC
rnacentral:rRNA from 1 species